UACGGAGGGUGCAAGCGUUAUCCGGAUUCACUGGGUUUAAAGGGUGCGUAGGUGGGCAGGUAAGUCAGUGGUGAAAUCUCCGGGCUUAACCCGGAAACUGCCAUUGAUACUAUCUGUCUUGAAUACCGUGGAGGUGGGCGGAAUAUGUCAUGUAGCGGUGAAAUGCUUAGAUAUGACAUAGAACACCAAUUGCGAAGGCAGCUCACUACGCGAAUAUUGACACUGAGGCACGAAAGCGUGGGGAUCAAACAGG
rnacentral:rRNA from 1 species